AGAGUUUGAUCCUGGCUCAGAACGAACGUUAGCGGCGCGCCUAACACAUGCAAGUCGAGCGAGAAGGGCUUCGGCCCCGAAAGCGGCGCACGGGUGAGUAACACGUAGGUAAUCUCCCCUCGAGUGGUGGACAACUCUUCGAAAGGAGAGCUAAUACAGCAUAACACCAUGCCUCUUCGGAGGUGUGGCCAAAGCGGGGGAUCUUCGGACCCCGCGCUUGAGGAUGAGCCUGCGGCCCAUCAGUUAGUUGGUGGUGUAAUGGACCACCAAGGCUAAGACGGGUAGCUGGUCUGAGAGGAUGAACAGCCACACUGGAACUGAGACACGGUCCAGACUCCUACGGGAGGCAGCAGUGGGGAAUCUUGCGCAAUGGGCGAAAGCCUGACGCAGCGACGCCGCGUGAGCGAUGAAGGCCCUCGGGUUGUAAAGCUCUGUGGAGAGGGAAGAAUAAGGGUACGUUAACACCGUGCCCGAUGACGGUACCUCUUUAGCAAGCACCGGCUAACUCUGUGCCAGCCGCCGCGGUAAUAC
rnacentral:rRNA from 1 species